rnacentral:rRNA from 1 species
AUGGACUCGAAAAGCUACCUAGUCACAUCGGCCGACAAGAAAAAGCUACUGAUGGUGCGGUGGAGCAUUCUUGAAGUGAUGAACGAGCUCAAGCUUGAUCACCACACGAUGGAUCUGCAUGUAUUCGAGGCAGACUUGGAUAAGGGCCGGUGGUUUGAGGUGAAUGACUUGGGCGACCAGGUCCUCUUUGUUGGACAGACUAGCUCGAGAGCGUUUGCGGUAACAGGUUCCUCUGAGCACUAUCACCAGAGUUUUCGAGGAGUGAACCUUGUGUUUCUUUCGGGCAAUGAUUGGUCAUGGGACUGGAAACGUAAGCAGCAUUCUGCACAGUGCAAGUGCUUCAAUUGCCGAAAGUUCGUCCAUGGCACUCCUAUCUAUUGUGUGUUCGACAUAAUGAGCGGCAAAAGCAGUAUAGUUUCCCUUAGUACGAGUGAUAGUCAAAAGAAAUAUUUUAGGUCUGAAUGGUUCUUCCCCUCGUCGUAA